AGAAUCAACGCUGGCGGCGUGCCUAACACAUGCAAGUCGCACGAGAAAGGGUAGCAAUACCUGAGUACAGUGGCGCACGGGUGAGUAACACGUGAAUGAUCUACCGUCCGAGUGGGGAAUAACUGAGGGAAACCUUAGCUAAUACCGCAUAACACUUACGAGUCAAAGCAGUAAUGCGCUUGGAGAGGAGUUCGCGGCAGAUUAGUUAGUUGGCAGGGUAAUGGCCUACCAAGACGAUGAUCUGUA
rnacentral:rRNA from 1 species